UCAGAAUUUCUAAGGGAUCAUCUGGGCCAAGGUUGCAAGUUGGAAAAUCUUGGGUAGAGCUUGAGAGAGUGGAUAUUUAAGUUCUUCUUUUUGCCAAAGUCCCCAACCAGCCUACUUCAUUCAUUUUUAGGACUUCUCAGGCUUCUGAGGUGCCUGACUCUGACCUAAUCCAACUGUCCUGGUUUGCCUGGGACUCAGGACUUUCAGUGCAAAAACAGAGAUAGUCCUGGGAAAACUCACAUGGAUGACCAUCCUAAGCAACGACAUUAUUUGACAAAUGAGGGAAAUUCAGUUCAGAUAGCGGAUGUGAAUCGAUUAGAUCCUUACAGUCAAGGUGUGGUCCACGGACCCAGCAGCAUCUGUAUCACCCCGUUGCUUGCUAAAGGUGCGCCAACUCAGACCUCACCUCAGUCCUGCUGAAUCACCCCGCAGUUUACCAAGAGUCCCAGGUGAGUUUCAUGCAUUAAGUGGUUUGAGACUCUCUGGAUGGAAGCAAAAUCUGAACUUGGGUUGUCUAAGGAUUCAGAUUUGCUGUCCACGUCGGUAAAAUAGACCUAACAAUGACCCACUUGUGCUGUGGUGCUCCCACCUUGACACACCUAUCUCAUUUUUCCUUCCUGCCUCCCCUAACCCCCGAGAAUGAAAAGUGUCUCAAAUUUCAUUGUUGGAAGGAAUCUAAAAUUCCCAAUUCUCACCUGGGUUUGAGUAGUGGUUUUCAUUAAACACCUUUCACAGUGAGUUUUCUCCCCUCAAACCAAAUGCCAUAAACAACACAGAUUGGGGGAGAUUGCUGGGCAUUUAGGUUAUUUCCAGGUUCUGAUAUUGCAAGCAAUGUGCCGUAAGUAGCCUUGUAUGUGCAGCCUUACGUGAAAACUAGUGCUUUAUUUCUGUAGGAUUGAUUACUGAAACGGGAGUUGCUUGGUCAAUGAGGAUGUACAUUGAAAACUGCAAUGGAUACCCAAAAGGUUCCUGGCCAAAGAGGAGUGUUUUUAAAAAAAUAGUGGUGCAUUUAUAUUAUGGAAAAGUCCGGAGCCAUAACGGAGUGAGUACAAUAGACUUCCGCUGACCUUGAGCAAUGGCUAUGACCUUAGGGAGAACCAGCUGCAGAGGGACUUAGCAAACUGGCGAGGAGAAUUGAGGAGGAUGUUUUGCAAAGAGAUUAAUCACACUUUCUGAAUGUAUCUAGGGCUACUUCUCCUGGUUGUAAAGAGCGUGUGUUGAUUUUGCAAUCAUGAACCUUAGGAGAGAGAAAAACCCGAGACGCCAACCUUCCCACCUCCAGCCACCGCCCCCCCCCUGCUUUAACAAUGUCCGAUUUGCCAGUUGUGAGCGUCUGAUUGGGUGAGCGCAGGUCACGUGCCCACGUGCCACGCGAGGGACUGUCUGACCUCCUUCGGGCUGAGGGGCCUUGCCAUCCGCUCACCUGAGGGGAUGCCGCUUGAACCGGAGGCGUACUGUGAGGCAAAUUGGCUACUAACCCACCAAAGUGGAAAAUCUACCACUUUGGAAGCCUCCGCGCAGUUGCGGAAGCAGUUAAUUAACUUUAUUUUUGUAGAACGCGAGGAAACGUGACAGACAAAAUUCACCGGGCGUUUACCAUCUGUGCUAGACGGUGUCGCUGAAGCACAGGAUGGCUGUGUAACUUGCCCAGAGUCACACAGCUAGUGAGUACUGGAGUCAGGGUUUGAGCCCAGGAUAUCUAAGCAAAAGUCUCUGGUCAUUACAUUCUGCUGCCUCCAGGAAAAGGAGGCUCUGUGAGGAGGACAGUGCAUCAGAGUUGUGGCCACUAUUACCAAAAAAAAGUCAAGAGAAGAGCAGACAUCUCAGCAACACGGCUUACAACGGAGUUCAAGAAUGCUGGUAGUGAUGUGCUUUCACAGUUAAUUUUGCAAGACUUCCAUGCAGUUUCCUGGAGAAGGUGGACUCCUACCCUCCGGAAUUGUGUUUUACAUGUGCUCAUGGAUGAGCAAGAGAACUAGAGGUCAUCAUUCCUUCCUUCCUUCACCCUGGACCCUGGGAGCUGCCGUCACCACUGCAGCCAUUUGGAAACCGGUUGUUGCUGCCACUGUCACUACUGCAGAAAGAAUUCUUUAUCUUGCUUCAUGAGUCAACAGCUCCCAAUUCUGAGUCUGGGGUGGACAUCUGCUUACCCCAGCUUGGAUCAGAGGCCCCUAUCCAACUGCAGGAGAGGCUGGGAAAGUAAGGAUCUGGCUUUCAGCUGUGGCCUCCAAGCUUCCACACAUCAGCACAUUGAUUGUCGGAGGGGGUCCCGGGCCUCAAAAGAGUGUGCAGAAAGAACGAACAAAGAGAUGAGGAAGUAGGAGCCCAGAGACUUUAAGUAACUUACUCAAGAUAAUACUGCUGGGAGACACCUGCCUGGGUCAGAAGAGCAUGUGAGUCUUGAUCUCUGGGUUGUGGGUUUGAGCCCCAUGUUGGGUAUAGAGAUUACUAAAAAACAAAAACAAACAAACAAAAAACACAUAAACUUAAAAAAAGAUAAUACAGCUGGUAAGAGACAGAGCUAGGAUUUAAACUCAGGCUGUCUGGCUCCAGAUCUUACUUUGGAAACUAUGGUUUUAUCCUUGCCUCCUGACUUCAUUAAUUGCUUAGUAAAAUGUUGGCAGCCCCAACCUCCUCCUCCUCCUGUAGGAACUUCCCAUGUGUGUUCUGUGGACUAUUACACUGUCACUAAGAAUCUGGCUCUUGUUCGUGGCAUUGUGGCUGACCUUGAGCACCAAGUCACUUCAUUCUCUGAGCUUCAGUUUUAUCACCUGUAAAAUGAGUGGGCUGGACUAUUUGAUGCUGACUCUUGCUGUAUACCAGCUGUGUAGCCUUGGAGAAGUUACAUAACCUGAACUGGAUUCUCCAUUGCUGAAAAAGGGGAUCAUUAUUCCUGCCUUAGAGGGUGGUUGAGAGGAAGCUGAGAGGCCAUGUGUGAAAAGUGUGGGUCCCAGCCUGUCACAAUAAUAAUGAUAGUAAUCAUGGCCAUUAUACUCUUCCUAACAAGAAGAAAGGCUCAUUUGCCGAGGGAGAUUGUACUGGGCCUUGCGAGGUCAUGCUGGUGACUCUUUCUGUUGAGGGGAUUCCACACUAGCACAGGCAGGGAAUAAAGAUGGAUGUAGGUCCUUGAGCUGAAAGGACAAAUUCUGCAAGUGGCAUUUAUUAAACCCCUACCAUUCUCUAGAUGCGUUACAAAUAUUCCCACAUUCAGGUAUGGCUUAACCUAGCAGGGUGGAUAUUAACAAUAUCCCCGUGGCUAGUGAGUGAGUGGUAGUUACUGAAAACCAUGCUUUUUCUCCUUUAUCAUCUUGCUCUGCCGAUUUUUAAUUAGGUUUCUUAUCAUGUGUGCAUAGGGUCUUACUAUUGCAUUUAACAUGAAGAUGCCUGAGUCAUAAAAUAGGGCUUUUUUUUCAAGUACAAAAUGAAUCAAUGCUCAAUAUAGCAAAUACAAAAAAAAUCCACAGAAGUAGAAAGAAAAGACAAUCCGCUGGCAAAGCUACUACCUAACAUUUAGAGAUAAUAAUGAUUAGCAUUUUCUUCUAGUCAUUUUUUGCUUUGUAGGUUUUUCUUAUAUAACUGAGAUUAGGUAGAUAGGUUUUUAAAACCUAAAAUCAUUGAAAUAAUAAAAUAAGAUUACCUCAGAUUGUGAGGACCUCAGAUUAGAGAGUAUCAAGGUUGGUUCAUCUCAAGGAGUCUCAGUUGUAGGUGAUUUUGCCCCAGGGGACAUUUGACAGUGUCUGGUGCUAUGGUCUGAAUAUUUCUUUCCUCUACCUCAUGUCCCAAUUUAUACCUUGAAAUCCCAAUGCUCAAUGUGAUAGUGUUAAAGGUGGGACAUGCAUAGGUCAUGAGGGUGGAACUCUCAUGAAUGGUAUUAGUGCCCUUAUAAAAGAGGCCCCAGAGAGCUUGCUAGUGCCUUCUGCCAGAUGAGGACACAGCAAUGAUGUGUCCCCUUUCAACAGGAAGAGGCCCAUCACUGGAAUAGGACCAUGCAGGUGCCUUGAUCUUGGACUUCCCAGCCUCCAGAACUCUGAGAAAUCCAUUUCUGUAUUUUAUAAGGUACCUGCCUAGUCUGGUAUUUUGUUAUAGCAGCCUGAACAGACUGAGACAUGUGGAGACAUUUUUGGUUGUCACAAAUUGGGGAGUGGGGCUAAUGGCAUUUAGUGGGUAGAGGCCAGGAGAGCUAUUGAACAUCCUGUGGUGCAUGGAACAGCCCUGCAACAAAGAAUUGUCCUGCCCAAGUGUCAGUGGUGCUGAGCUUGAGAAACCUGGUCUAUCUGAUACCUCCAAAUUCAGUGGCUCUGUCUGUUAGAAACAGGCAGCUCAUCCUGCUCAUCUCCACAGCAACAACCCAAGUGCGGAGGAUCCAGCCUGAUCAAGUGCUAAGGGGAGGCUGGUAGCUUUGGCUGCAUCUCUGAGUGAGUCAGGAUCCUUGUCCCUGAGGUCAGCCUUCAGCACAUCCCUCUCAGUGAUGCUUUUCCAGCCAGGCAGCCAGGCAGCACUUCCAACCACCUCCGUGGUUCCUUCAUCAGGGGUCUCUAGUGAGCCCAGAGGACUGGGAGGGAAACUGGGAGUGCCACUCCUGCUAGUCACGAGAGCCUGGGAUGUGAUGGGACAGAGGUCAGAGACACAGUGGAAGUCAGGAGGACGUAAAGAGCCAGCCAGAGGGGGGUCCUGAAUCUAUCCACAUAACUGCCAGCGCUAUCUUUUACCCCCCUCCACCUCUCUCUGAAGGAGUUGGGUCGGGAACAGGUGAACAGGGAAUAGGAGGUCAGGAGGAGAUUCUGCCCCCACAUGUUAGUGUGCUGGGGCCACCAUAACAAAGUACCACCAGUGGAGUGGCUUAAACAACACAGUUUAUUGUCUCGCUUUCUGGGGGCUGGAGGUAUGCAGUCAAGGUGUCAGCAGGCUGUGCUCCUGCUGAAGGUGCUAAGGGAAGAUCUGGUCCAGGCCUCUCUCCUGGCUUCUGGCAGUAGGACACUCCAGUCUUCACAUGGUGCUCUCUCUGGGUGCAGCCGUCUCUGCAUUUCCCCCUUUUUGAAGGUCACCAAUCAUGCUGGAUUAAAGACCUGCUCUACCCAGUGUGGCCUCAAGUACUUAUAUCUGCAAAGGCUCUGUUUCCCAAUAAGGUCACAUUCUGAGGUACUGGGGUUAGGAAUGCAAUGUUUGAAUUGGGGCAGGGACACAAUUCAACCCAUAACAGACCCCAUGUUUGGAAAGUGGUUUUGGUGUCUCCAGAGAAGCAGGAGGAUGUUAAUCAUGCUGAGUGCCUGUGGAUGCUCACAGAUGCUCAUGGGCAAUGGAGCCCUUCCUAUGUAGAUGUCUAUCCCCUGGAGGGUUCCCUGCCCUGUUCUUCUCCUGGGAGAGUUAGGGAUGAGGGGGCUGCUCAGAAGUUCAGCUUAACAAUGAUGAGAGCACGUGUCAGGCCCACCCAUGAUGGCGGUCGGGGAGGAAUUUAGCCCAUGGCCAGGAAUCCAUGUGACCGAAACCAAAUGGAGAAAGGAACAAACAGGAAGAAAGGAGGUUGAAGAUUGGGGUGGACAUGAGAUGUGGACAAAAAUGGGCAGUUUUUCCCUGGAGCACUCUGUAACAAGUGUCCUGUGGGCUGGAGCAGACAUUUUUGCACACAUAGAGGUCAAAUAGAUUGGUAUUUCCCAAAGUGGAUCCUGUGGAAUAUUGGUUCUAUAGGAUAUUAAAUAGAUAGUAUGUGAUGAAAGGGUUACAUGGCAAAAUGAGUUUGGGGAGCAAUAUUAAUCUGAAUUUUAUUUCCAAAAGAAAGAUUUUAGAAAACCUGAUUUACUAAUAUGAACUAUACUUUGUUAAGAAGAGUAAAUAGUAAUCAGCAUUCAUCAACUUGAUUGGGCCAGAGAGACUUUUUUCUCAGGAAAAUCUUGCAGGACGCAUUUUGAAAAAUGUUGAACUCAGUGAUAGAUGACCCCAUUGUGAACAAACCCACAGACUUGAUGGUUGCAAUAGAUAACAGUCUUGGAAAAUUCCUAAUUUACAUUAUAACCAUUCUAUAUUCUUCCUUUCUUAGAUCUUUCCUCUGUGCUAGUAUAUUAUAUUUCCUUGGUUUAUAAAACAUUUCUUGAUGCUGGUACCAUUUCUCAGGACUGACUGAUAAAAUUCUCAACAGUUGUUAGCCAAAUCAUUGUACACGAUGCUACCAUCUUUUGACAGAUAUCCCAUGUCUUCCAACCCUGUUUCGUCCCACAGGGGGUCCUUUACAAAGUGUUUGUGGGGCCGCAAGCAUUCUGCUUAAACCAGUGUGGAGUAGAAAGCAGUCAUCUUAAUCCUUGGAAAGUCUGCUGGCUGCCUGCAUGAGGCAGAGCAUGCUGAACAGACUUAGGGCCUGAGGUUUGUUUUCUCUUUACAUUCAACCUAAAGUAAGUGAUUCACUUGGAUUCCCCAUAAAACAAACCUGGAGACCGGUAGUUUCUUUGGGAGGUGACCCCAGGAAGCCCAAAUGAAGAAGUGGGGAAAGCGAGACAGAGCAAUGAGAAAAGCUGAUAAUGGGGACGUUAACGAGAGGGUUCUUGUGGCUAACGGAGACUCAGUCCCAGUGGGGAACCUCUGGGAAACCAUAUGGAGCAAUUUCAGAAUUGUGCCACCAAAGGAUGGUGUGCCUGGAGCAUUUGCUGACCUACUCUCCCGUCAGUUUUGAAGUUUGGACCCUGAAAUGUGCUGAAGAGUGUCCUCCCAAAUUCAUGUGCUUCCCAGAACCUCAGAGUGUGAUCCUAUUUGGAAAUAAGGUUGCAGAUGUCAUCAGUUAAGAUGAGGUCAUAUGCAGUAGGUGGGCCCUUAAUCUGACUGACAUUCUUAGAAGAAGAGGAGAGUCACAAAGACAUCCAGAGGGAUCAGGCCAUGUGAGGACAGAGGCAGGGAUAGGGCUUUGCUGCUGGAAACCAAGGAGCCUCCAGGAUUGCUGGCAACCACCAGAAUCCAGGAAGAGGCAAGAAAAGAUCCUCCCCUUUUAUUUGUAAAAUGGGCAUGACAUCAUCCUUCAGAGAGAUGGUGUGAGUCUGAGUUUACUUUUACAAAGCAUCCAGCAUGGUGGGGGGCACGUGACACCAUUCAACAGACAUCACUGAUAAUAAUAUUAUUAGCUAUUAUUAGUAGAAAGAGUGCAGACAGACUUGGAGUCAGACAGACUUGAAUUUGAACUUCAGCUUUAUAGCGGCAUGACCUUGGGCAAGUUGUUUAACUUAGUUGACUUUCAGGUUUUCCACAAAGAUAUAACACCAUGUGUGAAGGCCCUGCUGGUUUUCAGUUUUCUCCACAGCUCUAGGACGCAUCGAAGAUCAUCCUGGAAGCGUCUUUCAAGGCUUCUCCUCACUCAGGGCUGUGAGGUUCCAGGUGGUAUCUCUGAAAUCCAGACACUCUCCUUGAAACCAUGGUAGAAUGCAGAGCCAGAAGUGGAUAUGUCCUGUUGACCUUGCUUUUUGAUGCUAAUGCUUUACCUGCUUUCCACCCCCGGCCCCCACCAUCCUGUGCUAAUAAAGCCCAAAUCUCUGCUGUGACACGUAGAGUCUGGGCUGCAGCCCUGGGCGGCUGCCCGGCGGGCAUUCCUUUGAGUGAGGAAAGGAAGCUCAGACGCCUGCCCGUGCCUUCACGUCUGAGCUGGAAACAUGGCCUCCGCCUGCGGAAACGUUGGCGACCGUUCCCUGGAAAGGAGCUGGAGACUGUUUCCGUGGGCGACGUGGGUCAGCCCCUACUCUAGCUUCUUGGCGCACAGACAGUGAGGCGGUGGGGCAGGUGUUGAUGGAAUGACGUUGGCUUGGGCUCCUUUUCGCUCCCCAUCACUCUCAGCUCAGUGUGUCCAGUGCUCCUGGUGGGGGGGGGGGGGAGGGAGGGUGA